GUGCCAGCGCCGCGGUAAUACAUAGGGGGCAAGCGUUAUCCGGAAUUAUUGGGCGUAAAGAGUGCGUAGGUGGUUACCUAAGCGCAAGGUCUAAUCUAGAGGCUCUACCUCUACUUGCAUUGCUAACUGGGCUACUUGAGUGCAGGAGGGGAAUGCGGUAUUCGUAGUGUAGCGGUGAAAUGCGUAGAUAUUAGGAGGAACACCAGCGGCGAAGGCGGCUUUCUGCACUGUAACUGACACUGAGGCACGAAAGCGUGGGUAGCAAACAGGAUUAGAUACCUUGGUAGUCCACGCGGUAUACGAUGAGCACUAGGUGUUGGGUCCGUUAGGACUCAGUGCCGCAGUUAACGCAAUAAGUGCUCCGCUUGGGGAGUACGCUCGCAAGAGUAAAACUCAAAGGAAUUGACGGGGACCCGCACAAGCAGCGGAGCAUGUGGUUUAAUUCGAAGCUACGCGAAGAACCUUACCAGGGCUUG
rnacentral:rRNA from 1 species